GAUCAUGGCUCAGGAUAAACGCUGGCGGCGCACAUAAGACAUGCAAGUUGAACGGACUUAACCUAUUCUUAACGAUUAGGAGCGGUUAGUGGCGGACUGGUGAGUAAUGUAUAAGUAACCUGCCUAUCAGAGGGGAACAACAGUUGGAAACGACUGCUAAUACCGCAUAUGCCACGAGAAUCACAUGGUUCAAGUGGGAAAGGAGCAAUCCGCUGAUAGAUGGACUUAUAU
rnacentral:rRNA from 1 species